GGCAGACCGAGCAUUUCUAGAUUUGAAGAGCCGAUUCACCAACGCCCCGAUUCUCUCUCAACCUGACACUUCCCGUCAGUUCGUUGUGGAGGUGGAUGCGUCUGAUGUGGGGGUGGGCGCCAUCCUGUCCCAGCGUAGCUCCACUGACGGUAAACUCCAUCCCUGCGCCUUCUACUCUUGUCGUCUUUCUCCAGCUGAAAGAAACUACGAUGUGGGUAACCGGGAGCUUCUCGCUGUGAAGCUUGCCUUGGAGGAGUGGCGUCACUGGUUGGAGGGAGCGGAGCAACCGUUUGUGGUCUGGACUGACCACAAGAAUCUGGCUUACGUGCAAUCGGCUAAACGUCUCAACGCCCGUCAGUUUGUUUUUUGGACGCUUCAAUUUUUCCCUGACGUUCUGCCUCCACCCUGGCGCUCCGGGUUGUCCGCCCGGUGGCGUUCGCCGGAGGGGGGGUACUGUCACGAAUCCCGUUUCCUGAGUCUGUUUUUUGCCUGUGUUCUUUCCUGGAGUGUUUUUUCCGGCGUCCUGGAAUGCACCCUGUCUGGUUGCCGGGCAAUGUAGCCAGUUGGGAGUUCUGAUUACCCGCACCUGUAUCCCAUCAGCUAUCUGCACACCUGGUCCUGAUCAUCUCUCCUCUUCAUAAGCCCGGACCUGACAUCCAUUCCCUGCCGGAUCGUUAGCCAUGAACAUUACUCACCCGGAUCAUUUACCCCAUUCCCGCCUGGUCGUCGGAGGAUUCCGCUUCCCCAUUGGAUCCACCUAUUUACUCCCAUCAACUCACCACCGCUGCCCGCUACGCCACCUGGAUAUAUCUACCCAUUCACAUUCACUUGUAAAUAAAUACUCACCUUCUUCCUACUCUCCUUGUCCUGGUCUGCUUCUGGGUUCGAUUUUGAAGAAACGUGACAAACAUAUCUAUUGUUAUCUCUGGAUCUAUUGAUUGGGUAGGUCUCAAUCGUCUUAACUGGCUUCAUUGCCUUGUCCCCUCUGCUUCAUCUAUUCUACACUGAUCUGAGAAGGCUGAAUGGGUGAAAGCCACCUAUAAGAAACCGGAGGGCUUGUUUUCACCAGUCCAUUUCCUCCAAACUGUACAUCAUUGAUGAAAGAAAGGAUACAUUUAAAAGAAAUUGGCACUGUUGUAUUUAAACUUGUUAUUUAUUUCCCCCAAGAAUGCACCAGAGAGAGGUCUCCCAACUCCACACUUCCUCCAAAGGAAAUCCACUCAGCUCUCAUUGGACAGAAUGUAUAGUACAUAACGGCAAAAACAAAUCUCAAAAAGUUGUGGAGAAGUACAGAUCAGGGUUGGGUUAUAUAAAAAUGUCCAAUACUUUGAACAUCCCACAGAGCACCAUUAAAUCCAUUAUUAAAAAAUGGAAAGAAUACGGCACCACAACAAACUUGCCAUGAGAGGGUCGCCCACCAAAACUCACGGACCAGGCAAGGAGGGCAUUAAUCAGAGAGGCAAGAAAGAGACCAAAUAUGACCCUGAAGCUCCACAGCGGAGAUUGAAGUGUCUGUCCAUAGGACCACUUUAAGCCAUACACUCCACAGAGCUGGGCUUUACGGAAGAGUGGCCAGGAAAAAGCCAUAGCUUAAAGAAAAAUAAGCAAACACAUUUGGGGUUCGCCAAAAUGCAUGUGGGAGACUCCCCAAACAUAUGGAAGAAGGUACUCUGGUCAGAUGAGACUAAAAUGUUGCUUUUUGGCCAUCAAGGAAAACACUGUCUGGCGCAAACCCAAACUCUCCCAUCACCCCAAGAAUACCAUCCCCACAGUGAAGCAUAGUGGUGGAAACGUCAUGCUAUGGGGAUGUUUUUCAUCGGCAGGGACUGGGAAACUGGUCAGAAUUGAAAGAAUGAUGGAUGGUGCUAAAUACAGGGAAAUUCUUGAGGGAAACCUGUUUCAGUCUUCCAGAGAUUUGGGACUGGGACAGAGAUUCACCUUCCAGCAGGACAAUGACAUACUGCUAAAGCAACACACUCAAGUGGUUUAAAAAUCUUAGAAUGGCCUAGUCAAAGCCCAAACCUUAAUCCAAUUGAGAAUCUGUGGUAUGACUUAACAAUUGGUGUACACCAGCGGAACCCAUCCAACUUGAAGGAGCUGGAGCAGUUUUGCCUUGAAGAAUGGGCAAAAAUCCCAGUGGCUAGAUGUGCCAAGCUUAUAGAGACAUACCACAAGAGACUUGCAGCUGUAAUUGCUGCAAAAGGUGGUUCUACAAAGUAUUCACUUUGGGUGGGUGAAUAGUUAUGCACGCUCAAGUUUUCCGUUUCACAAUAAAAAAAUAUAUUUUGCGUCUUCAAAGUGGUAGGCAUGUUGUGUAAAUCAAAUGAUACAAACCCCCAUAAAAUCUAUUUUAAUUCCAGGUUGUAAGGCAAGAAAAUAGGAAAACUCGCAAUGGCCGCUAGUCCACCCAUUAUGCCAUCAUUAACUAGAAUGGGGAUUCCUGUUCUAUUCAUUCUAUUUCUAUGGCUGCUACUGCAGGCUAUUAGGUGGAGUUUUCUUCUUAGCUCCAUUCCCACCUGGUUUAUCCUUCUAAUAUCGUGGUGUGGUUCUAAGAUCCUUACAGGUAAAAUUCUCCCUUUUUCUCUACCCAGUUCCCCUCUUUUUCCUCCUCAAUCCCCCCCCCCCCCUCCUGGUGCUAGUCUCCAUUCCCCGUCUCUUCCUCUCUAUGUGGUGUUUGCCAUGGGUCCCCUCCAGGACGGAGUCAACGCACACUAUCUGAGAAUGGACGAUAGCUGCCAUUGUCAGCAGAAUCCUGUGUAGCUUCACUGGUUGGUAGCCCCAUUGUGCAAGCCCUCGUCAUGGCCAGUCGUCUUCUUAUCAGCUAGAAACAGAGACACAGGAGCACAAAGGGAAGAACUUUUAUCUUCUACUAAACUAACACAUGCUUAGUCACAGCUUUGUAUCAGUUGCGGAGUCUGGUUUCAGUGACUGGUUUGGGUUGAGGUUGGUUUCCUGCAUUUGAUAAUAACCUCAAACUACACGGACCACAAUCCCAUGUUAAGACCACAGAAACCGAAUCACUAGAAUGUCCGAUGAAGGGAUUGCAUUUGAAUGAUUAAGACUGCUAGUGCUGGUGGGUUUAUGCUAGCUAUGCUUAAUUGCACGGCUAUUUCAAUUAAGGAAUGGAUCCUUGAUCAUAUCAGUAUGGGGCCUUUAAUUCAUACAGUAUAUGUAGCUUGGCAGUCUUACUGUUAAAAUCCUGUAAUAUAAAAUAGUUGUAAUUUAUGUUGUGUUGGUCAAGCUGUGAAAAGAUUUCUGUACUGAGAGGAAUAUGGUAUCAUUUAUAGAGUUACUUAAUACUGCAAAAGUAGAGCAUUACUUUUCAGACACUUGGGAAUGCUGCUUUUUGCAUUGGUUUUAUUAGCCUAUAUAAUCUAUGAGUAGGGCUGCACAAAUAUCAAAACGUUCCUAAAA
ensembl:lncRNA